CCUACGGGAGGCAGCAGUGAGGAAUAUUGGGCAAUGGGCGAGAGCCUGAACCAGCCAAGUCGCGUGAAGGAUGAAGGAUCUAUGGUUUGUAAACUUCUUUUAUAUGGGAAUAAAGUGAGGAACGUGUUCCUUUUUGUAUGUACCAUAUGAAUAAGCAUCGGCUAACUCCGUGCCAGCAGCCGCGGUAAUACGGAGGAUGCGAGCGUUAUCCGGAUUUAUUGGGUUUAAAGGGUGCGUAGGUGGUUAAUUAAGUCAGCGGUGAAAGUUUGUGGCUCAACCAUAAAAUUGCCGUUGAAACUGGUCAUCUGGAGUGAGCGAGAAGUAUGCGGAAUGCGUGGUGUAGCGGUGAAAUGCAUAGAUAUCACGCAGAACUCCGAUUGCGAAGGCAGCAUACCGGCGCUCAACUGACGCUGAGGCACGAAAGCGUGGGGAGCGAACAGGAUUAGAUACCCGGGUAGUC
rnacentral:rRNA from 1 species